CCUACGGUGGCUGCAGUGGGGAAUAUUGGACAAUGGGCGAAAGCCUGAUCCAGCCAUGCCGCGUGUGUGAAGAAGGCCUUCGGGUUGUAAAGCACUUUCAGUGGGGAAGAAAGCCUUGGGGCUAAUACCCUCGAGGAAGGACAUCACCCACAGAAGAAGCACCGGCUAACUCCGUGCCAGCAGCCGCGGUAAUACGGAGGGUGCGAGCGUUAAUCGGAAUUACUGGGCGUAAAGCGCGCGUAGGCGGUCUGAUAAGCCGGUUGUGAAAGCCCCGGGCUCAACCUGGGAACGGCAUCCGGAACUGUCAGGCUAGAGUGCAGGAGAGGAAGGUAGAAUUCCCGGUGUAGCAGUGAAAUGCGUAGAGAUCGGGAGGAAUACCAGUGGCGAAGGCGGCCUUCUGGACUGACACUGACGCUGAGGUGCGAAAGCGUGGGUAGCAAACAGGAUUAGAUACCCUUGUAGUC
rnacentral:rRNA from 1 species